UACGGAGGGGGCCAGCGUUGUUCGGAAUUACUGGGCGUAAAGGGCUCGUAGGCGGCCAACUAAGUCAGACGUGAAAUCCCUCGGCUUAACCGGGGAACUGCGUCUGAUACUGGAUGGCUUGAGAUUGGGAGAGGGAUGCGGAAUUCCAGGUGUAGCGGUGAAAUGCGUAGAUAUCUGGAGGAACACCGGUGGCGAAGGCGGCAUCCUGGACCGACACUGACGCUGAGUGAGCGAAAGCAUGGGUAGCGAACAGG
rnacentral:rRNA from 1 species